rnacentral:rRNA from 1 species
CCCGCUGAACUUAAGCAUAUCAAUAAGCGGAGGAAAAGAAACUAACAAGGAUUCCCCUAGUAACUGCGAGUGAAGCGGGAAAAGCUCAAAUUUAAAAUCUGGCAGUCUUUGGCUGUCCGAGUUGUAAUCUAUAGAAGUGUUAUCCGCGCUGGACCAUGUACAAGUCUCCUGGAAUGGAGCGUCAUAGAGGGUGAGAAUCCCGUCUUUGACAUGGACUACCAGGGCUUUUGUGAUGCGCCCUCAAAGAGUCGAGUUGUUUGGGAAUGCAGCUCAAAAUGGGUGGUAAAUUCCAUCUAAAGCUAAAUAUUGGCGAGAGACCGAUAGCGAACAAGUACCGUGAGGGAAAGAUGAAAAGAACUUUGGAAAGAGAGUUAAACAGUACGUGAAAUUGCUGAAAGGGAAACGCUUGAAGUCAGUCGCGUUGUCCAGGGAUCAACCUUGCUUUUGCUUGGUGCACUUUCUGGUUGACGGGUCAGCAUCAAUUUUGACUGUUGGAAAAAGAUAAGGGGAAUGUGGCAUCCUUGGAUGUGUUAUAGCCCUUUGUUGUAUACAAUGGUUGGGAUUGAGGAACUCAGCACGCCGCAAGGCCGGGUUUUUAUUUAAACCACGUUAACGUGCUUAGGAUGCUGGCAUAAUGGCUUUAAUCGACCCGUCUUGAAACACGG